CUAGAGAGACUGCCAGGGAUAACCUGGAGGAAGGUGGGGAUGACGUCAAAUCAUCAUGCCCCUUAUGCUUAGGGCUACACACGUGCUACAAUGGGUAGUACAGAGGGUUGCCAAGCCGUAAGGUGGAGCUAAUCCCUUAAAGCUACUCUCAGUUCGGAUUGUAGGCUGAAACUCGCCUACAUGAAGCUGGAGUUACUAGUAAUCGCAGAUCAGAAUGCUGCGGUGAAUGCGUUCCCGGGUCUUGUACACACCGCCCGUCACACCACGGGAGUUGGAGACGCCCGAAGCCGAUUAUCUAACCUUUUGGAAGAAGUCGUCGAAGGUGGAAUCAAUAACUGGGGUGAAGUCGUAACAAGGUAGCCGUAUCGGAAGGGGCGGCUGGAUCACCUCCUUUCUAAGGAGA
rnacentral:rRNA from 1 species